GGGAAUUUUGGGCAAUGGGCGAAAGCCUGACCCAGCAACGCCGCGUGAGGGAUGAAGUAUUUCGGUAUGUAAACCUCGAAAGAAUGGGAAGAAUAAAUGACGGUACCAUUUAUAAGCUCCGGCUAACUACGUGCCAGCAGCUGCGGUAAUACGUAGGGAGCAAGCGUUGUUCGGAUUUACUGGGCGUAAAGGGCGCGUAGGCGGCGCGGUAAGUCACUUGUGAAAUCUCUGAGCUUAACUCAGAACGGCCAAGUGAUACUGCUGUGCUAGAGUGCGGAAGAGNCAACCGGAAUUCUUGGUGUAGCGGUGAAAUGCGUAGAUAUCAAGAGGAACACCUGAGGCGAAGGCGGGUUGCUGGGCCGACACUGACGCUGAUGCGCGAAAGCCAGGGGAGCAAACG
rnacentral:rRNA from 1 species